rnacentral:rRNA from 1 species
UGGCGGCGUGCCUAACACAUGCAAGUCGAACGAGAAAGUUGGCUUCGGCCGAUGAGUAAAGUGGCGCACGGGUGAGUAACGCGUGGAUAAUCUGCCCUUUAGUUUGGAAUAACGUACCGAAAGGUGCGCUAAUACCGGAUAAUACUGAAUGACUACUGUCGUUUAGUCAAAGAAGGCUUCUGUUUACAUGCUUUUGCUGAAGGAUGAGUCCGCGUACCAUUAGCUAGUUGGUAGGGUAAUGGCCUACCAAGGCGACGAUGGUUAGCUGGUCUGAGAGGAUGAUCAGCCACACUGGAACUGAGACACGGUCCAGACUCCUACGGGAGGCAGCAGUGAGGAAUAUUGCGCAAUGGGGGCAACCCUGACGCAGCAACGCCGCGUGAGUGAGGAAGGUUUUCGGACCGUAAAGCUCUGUCGAGCGGGAAGAAAUGCAUGGUGGCUAAUAUCCAUCAUGCUUGACGGUACCGCUAAAGGAAGCACCGGCUAACUCCGUG